AGUAGUAGUAGUAGUAGUAGUAGUAGUAGUAGUAGUAGUAGUAGUAGUAGUAGUAGAGAGAGAGAGAGAGAGAGAGAGAGAGAGAGAGAGAGAUCCGCACUGGAUAUCAUCUGAAACUGGUGAUGCUUAGUUAAAAUUUAGAGGGGAUGAAGUAGAGACUAAGUGGUGUGUUCUUGUGUUGAGACUUUGCUUAGUGAUAUAGGUAAGAGCAGCUAAUGCUAAUAGCUGAUCAGUACGAAUUAAGAAAUGGAUACCAUUGUGUUGUAAUAGAGUGUGGGUCUGAUGUUAGUAGAUGCUCAUCAACUCGUUAUUAUGAGCUUCCUUUUAUACUUUUAUGUUUGUGAUGAUUGCCGAUAGAAGCUAUUUAUUUUUCAUUAUCAAUCAGUGUUGAUGAUUUCUUUCACAAAAUGAAGAACAAAAGCUUAGUUUGAAUGAUAAAUACCUCUUGCUAUCAAAGGGAAGGAUGAAAAUGUUGUAGGAAGACACUUCAUCCACCUAAUACUUUUAGGAGAAAGAAAAGGAAAAUUUAUGAUGG
rnacentral:lncRNA from 1 species